AUUGAACGCUGGCGGCAUGCUUUACACAUGCAAGUCGGACGGCAGCACAGAGAAGCUUGCAUCUUGGGUGGCGAGUGGCGAACGGGUGAGUAAUAUAUCGGAACGUACCGAGUAAUGGGGGAUAACUAAUCGAAAGAUUAGCUAAUACCGCAUAUUCUCUGAGGAGGAAAGCAGGGGACCUUCGGGCCUUGCGUUAUUCGAGCGGCCGAUAUCUGAUUAGCUAGUUGGUGGGGUAAAGGCCUACCAAGGCGACGAUCAGUAGCGGGUCUGAGAGGAUGAUCCGCCACACUGGGACUGAGACACGGCCCAGACUCCUACGGGAGGCAGCAGUGGGGAAUUUUGGACAAUGGGCGCAAGCCUGAUCCAGCCAUGCCGCGUGUCUGAAGAAGGCCUUCGGGUUGUAAAGGACUUUUGUCAGGGAAGAAAAGGCUGUUGCUAAUAUCGACAGCUGAUGACGGUACCUGAAGAAUAAGCACCGGCUAACUACGUGCCAGCAGCCGCGGUAAUACGUAGGGUGCGAGCGUUAAUCGGAAUUACUGGGCGUAAAGCGAGCGCAGACGGUUACUUAAGCAGGAUGUGAAAUCCCCGGGCUCAACCUGGGAACUGCGUUCUGAACUGGGUGACUAGAGUGUGUCAGAGGGAGGUAGAAUUCCACGUGUAGCAGUGAAAUGCGUAGAGAUGUGGAGGAAUACCGAUGGCGAAGGCAGCCUCCUGGGAUAACACUGACGUUCAUGCUCGAAAGCGUGGGUAGCAAACAGG
rnacentral:rRNA from 1 species